AUUUUUAAUUUUCUCACAUUAAUUGUAUAGUAAUCAUAGAUGGUAGUAUGACAUUAUUAUUUAUUACCUACCUCAAAUAAAUAUAUGUUUUUUUGUGUUUUUAGUUUUUAACAAAAUUAAAUUUUGUAUCUAAAACAAUUCAACUAUAUUUAUAUAUCAAAACAAGGGCAUAUUGAAAAGCAAAAGCAAUCUUCCAAUGGUUAUACUCUUAACAAAAAUUCAAUGAUGAAAAUAUAAUCACUAUGCGUAUAUUGAAAAUGUGGAAGGUACAUUUUGAAAAGAUACAUUUGGAAAAUUAAAUAUAGGCACCUGCCGUGUAUAAGGUGAAAGUUUCCCAUACAAAAUGCAUUAUAUCUUUCCCAGAUCGUCAAUCGUACGAUAACAUUUAAUCAAAUUAAUGGAAAAGUAACAACCAGUUGCGGAGUAGUAAUCGUUUCAAGUCUUAACACACGUGUAUUUUAUAUAGCAUGAUAUCAAUGAAUACAUUAAUAUGCAUAUAGACUUGCAGUACUUAUCGAGGAACUUAUGUAAGUAAUUUCAAGGCAACAAUUAACAAAGUUUUAAUAUAAUAAUAAUAUCUAAUUUUACCAUGCAUGUUCAGUCUUCAGUGGGGCCCAUUAUCUCUUGAAUAGUAAAAAUGGUAAUUAUUUAAAAUGUAAAUACUUGUAUAGCCAUAUCUAUACCAUAACAAUUGCAGUUAUAUAUUAUAAUCGGCUUGAUUAAGUGUUUCAUAUAAUUAAUGUAAUUCAUUCUGAAAUAAAUUUAUUUUACAUUUCAAAUAAUGAGUUUCUAAUUAAAAGCAGCAUUAUCAAAUAAAGAAUAUUUUAUCAUAAUGUAUAUGUAUGAAUAAAAUAUUGAAGAUAUACGUUAUGGGUCUCAUAUUAUAUGUUAGCCUAAUAAACUCGUUUGGCAUACAACCUACAUAAUUUUCCUAACAAUAGGUUUUUCCAACAUUGGAAAAAUGUUGGAAAAACACUUAUGAAAUCACAUUUGUGAUUUAUUGAUUUCCUAACAAAAUAAUUAAUUAGUAACUUUUAAUUGACCAACGGUAUUGUUUUAAUUCACAUUUUCACUAUAUUUAUUAUAAUAAUACAAGUUGUAAGAAAUACGAUUUUCAAGUUCAAAUUUACCUUUGUUGGUAAAUUGUUAUGCAUUACGUAAAUUAUAUAAAAAUAGUAUGUAGAAAUAAUAUAAGUACCUACCUAUCCAAGUGCCCAACCAACUUAUAAUAAAAAUAUUAAUAUAACUAAUAUAUUAAUGUUAUAACAUUAACAUACCAUUAUUCUUAUAUAGGAUUAGGUAUGAUAAAUACAAAUGGAUAUGUUUUUCUCGACAAAAAUCUAUCAAUUAGAAUUUUACAAAUAAUGUUGUUUACAACUAAGUAUAAUAUUUUACAUUUAAAACAAAAUAAUUAUUAGAUCAUGUAGGGAACCUUCAAAACGCGAAUAUCCAUGAUAUGAUACGCAUACAAGUUAUUUUUUUCACCUAGAAAAAAGUGUAUAAAAUAAAAUUCAAGCAUCUACUCUUAGUAAAAUAUACUUGGAAAUUAUGUCAUAUUAUCGAGGUUGCAUUUUUAAUCUUUCCAAAAUACCAGAUACAUUUUAUGAACUGAUUCCCAAAAAAAUUACAAAAAUAAUACAAUGGUUUGAGUAUAAUUAUUAUAUCAGCUGUAUGGCGUAGAGUUAUUAGAAUAAUGAGAUUUGGUUAUAUAACAGCUCUUUUAUGUACAAUAAAAUUUGUCUGCGCGUGCAAUAACCACCCCCAAAGAGCCUCAGUUUGUAACAAACAAACUUCUCCACGACGACCUAUAAAUCAAUACUAUCUGAAAAAUGGCUAACAUAAUUUACAAGAGGUUUCCCAACGAACUUCAAACAAACAUCAACUGCCUGAUCUCGCAGACAGCUUCGAAGACACUCCCGGACAAUCCGAUAAGACGACUAAAACGCAAUAACUGAAGGAUUAGAGACCUACUUAGCUUAUAAAACAAAUUGUAUGCUACUUAAUAAUGUAAAGUUUACACUGUAAACCAAUGUAAUCAAUGUAUAGAAGGUGAUAUCGACGGCAAGUCUUCUUUCAACCCCCUUCACAAUCAUUUACACUUUGAUCAAAUUUAUUAAUUAAUACUCAUCGUAUAUAGUUCACAAAAAAC